rnacentral:rRNA from 1 species
CACAAGCGGUGGAGCAUGCGGUUUAAUUCGAAGCAACGCGAAGAACCUUACCAGGUCUUGACAUCCCGAUGCUAUUUCUAGAGAUAGAAAGUUACUUCGGUACAUCGGUGACAGGUGGUGCAUGGUUGUCGUCAGCUCGUGUCGUGAGAUGUUGGGUUAAGUCCCGCAACGAGCGCAACCCCUAUUGUUAGUUGCCAUCAUUCAGUUGGGCACUCUAGCGAGACUGCCGGUAAUAAACCGGAGGAAGGUGGGAUGACGUCAAAUCAUCAUGCCCCUUAUGACCUGGGCUACACACGUGCUACAAUGGCCGGUACAGAGUGACGCGAAGCCGCGAGGUGGAGCAAAUCGCAGAAAGCCGGCCUUAGUUCGGAUUGGAGUCUGAAACUCGACUCCAUGAAGGUGGAAUCGCUAGUAAUCGCGCAUCAGCAUGGCGCGGUGAAUACGUUCCCGGGCCUU